rnacentral:rRNA from 1 species
AAUCAACGCUGGCGGCGUGCCUAACACAUGCAAGUCGCACGAGAAAGCGAACUUCGGUCUGCAAGUACAGUGGCGCACGGGUGAGUAACACGUGAAUUAUCUACCUUCGAGUGGGGAAUAACCUCGGGAAACCGAGGCUAAUACCGCAUAACACUUACGAGUCAAAGCAGCAAUGCGCUUGAAGAGGAGUUCGCGGCAGAUUAGUUAGUUGGCGGGGUAAUGGCCCACCAAGACGAUGAUCUGUAUCCGGCCUGAGAGGGCGCACGGACACACUGGAACUGAAACACGGUCCAGACUCCUACGGGAGGCAGCAGUGGGGAAUUUUGCGCAAUGGGGGAAACCCUGACGCAGCAACGCCGCGUGGAGGAUGAAAUCCCUUGGGAUGUAAACUCCUUUCGAUCGGGACGAUUAUGACGGUACCGGAAGAAGAAGCCCCGGCUAACUUCGUGCCAGCCGCCGCGGUAACAC